rnacentral:tRNA from 1 species
GGAGGCGUAUCCGGUCUGGUGGCCGGCUCGGUCUUCAACACCGACGGGCGGCAGGACCUGCCGCCGGCGGGUUCGAUUCCCGUCCGCCUCCGCCA